rnacentral:rRNA from 1 species
GAUGAACGCUGGCGGCGUGCCUAAGACAUGCAAGUCGAGUGGGUUUAGACCCACGGCGAACGGGUGAGUAAUACCUAGGAAUGUAUCUUUAGUCGAGCAUAUCCCACCGAAAGGUGGAGCAAUUCUCGAUGUGAACGCAAGUUUAAAGUCGCAAGACGCUAAAGAAGCAGCCUGGGCACCAUCAGCUAGUUGGUAAGGUAAAGCUUACCAAGGCUAUGACGGUUAGGGCCCGAC